rnacentral:rRNA from 1 species
CGAAAGCCUGACGGAGCAAUACCGCGUGAGGGAGGAAGGUUUUUGGAUUGUAAACCUCUUUUUUAAAGGAAGAAGAAAGUGACGGUACUUUAAGAAUAAGCAUCGGCUAACUCCGUGCCAGCAGCCGCGGUAAUACGGAGGAAGCAAGCGUUAUCCGGAAUCAUUGGGCGUAAAGCGUCCGCAGGUGGCUAAUCAAGUCUGCUGUUAAUGACAGAAGCUCAACUUCUGAUAGGCAGUGGAAACUGGUUAACUAGAGUAUGGUAGGGGUUGAGGGAAUUCCCAGUGUAGCGGUGAAAUGCGUAGAUAUUGGGAAGAACACCGGUGGCGAAAGCGCUCUACUGGACUUAUACUGACACUGAGGGACGAAAGCUAAGGGGAGCG